rnacentral:rRNA from 1 species
GAGUUUGAUCCUGGCUCAGGACGAACGCUGGCGGCGCGCCUAACACAUGCAAGUCGAACGAGCGAGAGAGAGCUUGCUUUCUCGAGUGAGUGGCGAACGGGUGAGUAACGCGUGAGGAACCUGCCUCAAAGAGGGGGACAACAGUUGGAAACGACUGCUAAUACCGCAUAAGCCCACGGGUCGGCAUCGACCAGAGGGAAAAGGAGCAAUCCGCUUUGAGAUGGCCUCGCGUCCGAUUAGCUAGUUGGUGAGGUAAUGGCCCACCAAGGCGACGAUCGGUAGCCGGACUGAGAGGUUGAAGGGCCACAUUGGGACUGAGACACGGCCCAGACUCCUACGGGAGGCAGCAGUGGGGAAUAUUGCACAAUGGGGGAAACCCUGAUGCAGCGACGCCGCGUGGAGGAAGAAGGUCUUCGGAUUGUAAACUCCUGUUGUUGGGGAAGAUAAUGACGGUACCCAACAAGGAAGUGACGGCUAACUACGUGCCAGCAGCCGCGGUAAAACGUAGGUCACAAGCGUUGUCCGGAAUUACUGGGUGUAAAGGGAGCGCAGGCGGGAAGACAAGUUGGAAGUGAAAUCUAUGGGCUCAACCCAUAAACUGCUUUCAAAACUGUUUUUCUUGAGUAGUGCAGAGGUAGGCGGAAUUCCCGGUGUAGCGGUGGAAUGCGUAGAUAUCGGGAGGAACACCAGUGGCGAAGGCGGCCUACUGGGCACCAACUGACGCUGAGGCUCGAAAGUGUGGGUAGCAAACAGGAUUAGAUACCCUGUAGUCCACACCGUAAACGAUGAUUACUAGGUGUUGGAGGAUUGACCCCUUCAGUGCCGCAGUUAACACAAUAAGUAAUCCACCUGGGGAGUACGACCGCAAGGUUGAAACUCAAAGGAAUUGACGGGGGCCCGCACAAGCAGUGGAGUAUGUGGUUUAAUUCGACGCAACGCGAAGAACCUUACCAAGUCUUGACAUCCCUUGACAGACAUAGAAAUAUGUAAUCUCUUCGGAGCAAGGAGACAGGUGGUGCAUGGUUGUCGUCAGCUCGUGUCGUGAGAUGUUGGGUUAAGUCCCGCAACGAGCGCAACCCUUAUGGUCAGUUACUACGCAAGAGGACUCUGGCCAGACUGCCGUUGACAAAACGGAGGGAGGUGGGGAUGACGUCAAAUCAUCAUGCCCUUUAUGACUUGGGCUACACACGUACUACAAUG